UUUCCGUAGGUUAACCUGCGGAAGGAUCAUUCAUAAUAAAGUGUUUUAUGGCACUUUUUAAAAAUCCAUAUCCACCUUGUGUGCAAUGUUAGAUCUCGUCAAUCUUGGCGAGAUUUUUAUACAUCAACUCAUUCUUUAACUAAUUUGUCUGAAAAAUAUUAUGAAUACUUAAUUCAAAAUACAACUUUCAACAACGGAUCUCUUGGCUCUC
rnacentral:misc_RNA from 1 species